rnacentral:rRNA from 1 species
AUUGAACGCUGGCGGCAGGCCUAACACAUGCAAGUCGAGCGGAUGAAGGGAGCUUGCUCCUGGAUUCAGCGGCGGACGGGUGAGUAAUGCCUAGGAAUCUGCCUGGUAGUGGGGGAUAACGUCCGGAAACGGGCGCUAAUACCGCAUACGUCCUGAGGGAGAAAGUGGGGGAUCUUCGGACCUCACGCUAUCAGAUGAGCCUAGGUCGGAUUAGCUAGUUGGUGGGGUAAAGGCCUACCAAGGCGACGAUCCGUAACUGGUCUGAGAGGAUGAUCAGUCACACUGGAACUGAGACACGGUCCAGACUCCUACGGGAGGCAGCAGUGGGGAAUAUUGGACAAUGGGCGAAAGCCUGAUCCAGCCAUGCCGCGUGUGUGAAGAAGGUCUUCGGAUGGUAAAGCACUUUAAGUUGGGAGGAAGGGCAGUAAGUAAUACCUUGCUGUUUUGACGUUACCAACAGAAUAAGCACCGGCUAACUUCGUG